rnacentral:misc_RNA from 1 species
UGGCGUGUAGGUGACCGUC